rnacentral:lncRNA from 1 species
UUAAUGACUGUUGGUCCCUGAUAAAGUCUUGUAUGUUUGAUGAGACAAGCCACAACAUCAACUCACAAUUGGAGAACAUCGGAAGGAAAAUCGCUGAGACACUCAGUGGUCUUCCUAUUGCUGCAAAGGUUGUAGCUAGACACCUGAAAUGUAAACACAGUGUAGAUGAGUGGAAACAGGUCUUGCAGAGAAAUGCAGUAUGGGAGGAAAUCAUGCCAAUUCUAAGGACAAGUUAUGACAAUCUGCCACCACACCUAAAACAGUGCUUUGCAUAUUGCAGCAUCUUCCCCAGGGGCUGGGAAUUUGAAGCUGAGCAGCUGAUUCUCCAGUGGAUAGCACAAGGUUUUGUACACCCAGAUGGUUGCAGGAGAAUGGAGGACAUUGGGAAGGAAUACAUAAAUG